rnacentral:piRNA from 1 species
UACAGUGACUUUGCACCCAACGGUACCU